AUUGAACGCUGGCGGCAGGCUUAACCCAUGCAAGUCGAGCGAGCGGCGGACGGGUGAGUAAUGUCUGGGAAACUGCCUGCUGGAUGGGGAUAACUACUGGACACGGUAGCUAAUACCGCAUACCAUCAGAUGUGCCCCGAUGGGAUUAGCUAGUAGGUUGGGUAAUGGCUCACCUAGUCGACGCUCCCUAGCUGGUCUGAGAGGAUGACCAGCAACACUGGAACUGAGACACGGUCCAGACUCCUACGGGAGGCAGCAGUGGGGAAUAUUGCACAAGGGGCGCAAGCCUGAUGCAGCCAUGCCGCGUGUGUGAAGAAGGCCUUCGGGUGGUAAAGCACUUUCAGCGAGGAGGCGUUACUCGCAGAAGAAGCACCGGCUAACUCCGUGCCAGCAGCCGCGGUAAUUC
rnacentral:rRNA from 1 species